AACGCUAGCUACAGGCUUAACACAUGCAAGUCGCGGGGUAACGAGAGGGAAGCUUGCUUUCCUUGUCGACGACCGGCGCACGGGUGAGUAACGCGUAUCCAACCUGCCCAUUACCACGGGAUACCCCGUCGAAAGGCGGCCUAAUACCGUAUGCAGUCGUCAGAUGACAUCAGAGGACGACGAAAGGAUUGGCGGUAAUGGAUGGGGAUGCGUCUGAUUAGGUAGUUGGAGGGGUAACGGCCCACCAAGGCAACGAUCAGUAGGGGUUCUGAGAGGAAGGUCCCCCACAUUGGAACUGAGACACGGUCCAAACUCCUACGGGAGGCAGCAGUGAGGAAUAUUGGUCAAUGGGCGCAAGCCUGAACCAGCCAAGUAGCGUGCAGGAUGACGGCCCUAUGGGUUGUAAACUGCUUUUAUACAGGAAUAAAGUUAGCCACGUGUGGCUAUUUGUAGGUACUGUAUGAAUAAGGACCGGCUAAUUCCGUGCCAGCAGCCGCGGUAAUACGGAAGGUCCAGGCGUUAUCCGGAUUUAUUGGGUUUAAAGGGAGCGUAGGCCGUCUGUUAAGCGUGUUGUGAAAUGUAGAUGCUCAACAUCUGAAUUGCAGCGCGAACUGGCAGACUUGAGUGUGCGCAACGUAGGCGGAAUUCGUGGUGUAGCGGUGAAAUGCUUAGAUAUCACGAAGAACUCCGAUUG
rnacentral:rRNA from 1 species